UAGGGAAUCUUCGGCAAUGGGGGCAACCCUGACCGAGCAACGCCGCGUGAGUGAAGAAGGUUUUCGGAUCGUAAAACUCUGUUGUUAGAGAAGAAUGUGUAGGAGAGUAAAAAGUUCUUACAGUGACGGUAUCUAACCAGAAAGGGACGGCUAACUACGUGCCAGCAGCCGCGGUAAUACGUAGGUCCCAAGCGUUGUCCGGAUUUAUUGGGCGUAAAGCGAGCGCAGGUGGUUUAAUAAGUCUGAUGUAAAAGGCAGUGGCUCAACAUUGUAUGCAUUGGAAACUGUUAGACUUGAGUACAGUAGAGGAGAGUGAAUUCCAUGUGUAGCGGUGAAA
rnacentral:rRNA from 1 species